CCCAAGUCCCAACGACUCAAAUGGUUCAACUUCGAUUGAAGCUCAACCGAGAAAGAAGACGGCGUCGCCGUCCUCAGUGACCUUAAUGAACCACACGAUUUCCCGGCGAGUCAGUAUCAGUCCAAUGGUUCUACUUAUGCUCAUUCACCAUAUGAAGAUUGCACUUAUGAAGAGACUCCUACAAAUGAAGUUUACACUUACGAAGAGACACCACGUACACCUAGCAGCAGGAAAGCACAAAGACAAGCCAACUUCACAAUCGAAGAAGACAAACUUCUUGUAUCUGCAUGGCUCAAUAUUGGUUUAGACCAGGUGAAAAGAGCCAUUAGAAAUAGCCGUUGUAAACUAGCUGUUAUAAAAUAGCUGUUGUAAACUAGCCGUUAGAAAUAGCCGUUGUAAACUAGCCAUUAUUUUAGAUUUGUUUUAAAUGUAGAAUAUUUUAUUGUUGUAAUAAAUGCAGAAAUCUGUAAAAUAAGGAAGCUGUUGGAGUUGGAGCAGAAAAAUUAUGGAGAUUUUGAUUUUUGUUUCCCUAUAAUACAGAAAUUAUAAGGAAGCUGUUGGAGUUGCU